UUAUAUUUUUUGGGCUUUCUGCUCAUUCCCGUUAGCCGGCCCCAUAGACAGCAAGACCAAUCACAAAUCAUAGGGUUUGUGUUCUUCUUCCACAAUGAAUCUGUCCUUCGUUCUCUGAUACCAGCUAUGGAGUUUCGAGAUGUUUGAUUCACGUUAAGAAUCACUUUGUGGAUCUGCAAUGCUUUAGAUUUCUAGGGUUCAUCGUUUCAGUCCAUCUUCUUCCACCGACAGUGGAGCUCCAGCCAGUGACGAAUAUUGCCGGUCAUGGUGGAAGCCAUCGUCCGCGUCGAAUCAGUUGCAGUUCUUCUCCCCUGCUUUAGAAAGCUAGAAAGCUGGCACCGUUACGAAACUCCCCGCAAUCAAUCAUUGUCAUUAACCUUCUAAUUGACUCCAUCUCCUCACUCUUUCCACAAUUUCACAUUCAAUGCAUCCUCUCCCUUCUUCCAGUCGGUUAAUCUGCAGCUAUAAAUAUGUAUUUAAUCUGACGGAAGUGAAACCCCAUGAAUUUGUACGUUACGGUUUGCUGUGUUUGGAGACGUUUGCAGCGAACGGAGAUGAAUCCGCAAGAGAAUGAAGAGAAUUGAUCCAGAUCAUGGCCCAGAAGAAGCACAAGUAUGAUGGUGUGGAACCGUAGAGGCCGUACAAAGAAACGAUGAGGAAGAUAGAAAAAAGACAUGGAUAAAUCAAAGAAAUGGCUUUUGAUAAAAGUCUACUGUGCAUGGAGUUAUGUCAGAUGAUGUUGCUCGGUUUUUUAAUCUGCUCACCACUACUCAGUUUUGGGCUACCAUGGCUUAUCUCAGCCGAGAAUAUUGAAAAAGGCGAUGUUGGGCCAUCACGAAAAGUAUGGAGAAUGAGAUAGUAGUUGAAGCUUUUAUGAACUUCAGAACCCAUAAAAGGUAAUGAUCGAGGUUCAUCAUUUGUAACGGUGCAUCAAGUUCCUCCAUCUCUGAUCUCCCUAGCUGUUUCCAUUGGGACUUAAACAAGCCACUGAUUAUUGCUGACAAAGAGUUGGAGGCAAGGGAGUAAGACUAGGAAGUGAUGCAGCUCCUUAUGUGAGAAACAUACCAAUAUAAGUUUUAUUGACUGAGCACUUAUUGACUGAGCUCGCUUUCGUAUCAACGUAGUGGCGGUUUUUAUCAUCUACUUAUAUCUUACUUAGUGGCAGCCAAAACCGACAUGGAGGUUUUGUGAGAGGUGGUUAAGGCAGAGGCCAAGCUGGUGGUUAAGGCAAAGCUAUCUAGGGUAUCAGCCAAGCUGGUGGUUAAGGCAAAGCUAUCUAGGGUAUCAGCUGUAGUUGUAUAUCUACUUAGAUAGAGAGGACACAAAAGAGGAUAAAUACAAAACAGAGAUCUGCAGUACUUUGAUGAAUUAGAAGGUAGAUUUGAUGUGUAGUUUUCUCACAAACUGGAAACAUCAACAAACUACCUUUGUCUAAAUAUAAAAAGGCUUAACAGCAAGUAGGGUCCAAUCAUAUUUACUAAUACAUAAGCCCAUAUGUAGAAAGAGCAUACGAGUGUACACAAGGAUUUGAUCUAUGUGUUUAUGUAUACAGUAUUCUUUCUAGACCACGAUUCUUCUUUAA